AACGAACGCUGGCGGCAGGCUUAACACAUGCAAGUCGAACGCCCCGCAAGGGGAGUGGCGCACGGGUGAGUAACGCGUGGGAAUAUGCCCUUCGGUUCGGAAUAACACAGGGAAACUUGUGCUAAUACCGGAUACGAUCUGCGGAUGAAAGAUUUAUCGCCGAGGGAGUAGCCCGCGUAGGAUUAGCUAGUUGGUGAGGUAAUGGCUCACCAAGGCGACGAUCCUUAGCUGGUCUGAGAGGAUGAUCAGCCACACUGGGACUGAGACACGGCCCAGACUCCUACGGGAGGCAGCAGUGGGGAAUAUUGGACAAUGGGCGAAGCCUGAUCCAGCCAAGCCGCGUGAGUGAUGAAGGCCUUAGGGUUGUAAAGCUCUUUCGCCAGGGAAGAUAAUGACGGUACCUGGAAAAGAAGACCUCGGCUAACUUCGUGCCAGCAGCCGCGGUU
rnacentral:rRNA from 1 species